rnacentral:rRNA from 1 species
ACGAACGCUGGCGGCGUGCUUAACACAUGCAAGUCGAACGGAAAGGCCCUGCUUUUGUGGGGUGCUCGAGUGGCGAACGGGUGAGUAACACGUGAGUAACCUGCCCUUGACUUUGGGAUAACUUCAGGAAACUGGGGCUAAUACCGGAUAGGAGCUCCUGCUGCAUGGUGGGGGUUGGAAAGUUUCGGCGGUUGGGGAUGGACUCGCGGCUUAUCAGCUUGUUGGUGGGGUAGUGGCUUACCAAGGCUUUGACGGGUAGCCGGCCUGAGAGGGUGACCCGCCACAUUGGGACUGAGAUACGGCCCAGACUCCUACGGGAGGCAGCAGUGGGGAAUAUUGCACAAUGGGCGGAAGCCUGAUGCAGCAACGCCGCGUGCGGGAUGACGGCCUUCGGGUUGUAAACCGCUUUCGCCUGUGACGAAGCGUGAGUGACGGUAAUGGGUAAAGAAGCACCGGCUAACUACGUG